CGACCGCUGGCGGCGUGCUUAACACAUGCAAGUCGAACGGAAAGGCCUGCUUUCCCUUGUGGAUUGCGGGUACUCGAGUGGCGAACGGGUGAGUAACACGUGAGUGAUCUGCCCCCAACUUGGGUAUAAGCCUGGGAAACUGGGUCUAAUUCCCGAUAGGACUGCAGGGUGGUGCCUGUGGUGGAAAACGAUUUUCUAGUGGUUGGGGAUGAGCUCGCGGCCUAUCAGCUUGUUGGUGGGGUAAUGGCCUACCAAGGCGGCGACGGGUAGCCGGCCUGAGAGGGUGGACGGCCACAUUGGGACUGAGAUACGGCCCAGACUCCUACGGGAGGCAGCAGUGGGGAAUAUUGCACAAUGGGCGGAAGCCUGAUGCAGCGACGCCGCGUGGGGGAUGACGGCCUUCGGGUUGUAAACUCCUUUCGACCGCGAGGAAGCCACCUGGUUGGAAGGGUGGUGACGGUAGUGGUAGAAGAAGCACCGGCUAACUACGUG
rnacentral:rRNA from 1 species